UACCAGCACCCCGAGUGGUCGGGACGAUUAUUGGGCCUAAAGCAUCCGUAGCCGGCCUUACAAGUCCUCCGUUAAAUCCAGCUGCUUAACAGAUGGGCUGCGGAGGAUACUAUAAGACUAGGAGGCAGGAGAGGCAAGCGGUACUCAGUGGGUAGGUGUAAAAUCCGUUGAUCCAUUGAAGACCACCAGUGGCGAAGGCGGCUUGCCAGAAUGCGCUCGACGGUGAGGGAUGAAAGCUGGGGGAGCAAACCGG
rnacentral:rRNA from 1 species